AAACUUGAGAGUUUGAUCCUGGCUCAGAACGAACGCUGGCGGCAGGCUUAACACAUGCAAGUCGAGCGC
rnacentral:rRNA from 1 species